CCUUACCCCUUACUUUUGCACGUUAACGUUCAAGGGCUGUCCCAAUUCUCAUUUUGAUUGAGGGGUAGGGCUAAGGGGAAGGGGUACAUACCCCUUAAAACCAAGGAAAG